GAAAUGCGAUAAGUAAUGUGAAUUGCAGAAUUCAGUGUAUCAUCGAAUCUUUGAACGCACAUUGCGCCCGCCAGUAUUCUGGCGGGCAUGCCUGUUCGAGCGUCAUUUCAACCAUCAAGCCCCCGGCUUGUGUUGGGGACCUGCGGCUGCCCGCAGGCCCUGAAAAACAGUGGCGGGCUCGCUGUCACACCGAGCGUAGUAGCAUACAUUCUCGCUCAGGGCGUGCUGCGGGUUCCGGCCGUUAAACGACCUUCAUAACCCAAGGUUGACCUCGGAUCAGGUAGGAAGACCCGCUGAACUUAAGC
rnacentral:misc_RNA from 1 species